GUGCAUUUCUCCCUCCUCCAAGCAUCCAAAUCAAAGAAGUUCAUCCCGUAAGCCCAAGCACAUGCCUUCGGAUUAAACUUCUCCUUGAUCAAAGGGUGUGAGAAAUUCAUAUACUGUGCAUACCUAUGAAAUGACCCAAAACAAGUCUCUACUGCCCCAUUCACCUUCCCAUCCAUAUCGAUCUUCCACAACCCAGUCAGAUCCUUCUGCACCACGAUAUCAUCAUCUAAAAACAAUAUCCUGUGCAACUUAGGGUACAUCUCGGGCAAGUAAAACCUCAAAUGAUUCAGAAUUGACAAGUAUUUGGGGUUCCUGAACUUCAUAUUUGUUGUAUCCUUGGUUGCAUUCUCAAGUUUAUUCUCAAAGUAAAACCUCUGAAGAUUUGCAGAUUCCAAUUGCCUAAGCACAGGCACAUAAGAAGAAUUCAAGAAUUUAUAAUCCUCAACAGCUUUCACUUCUAUAUGUGCCCCAUUAUAAGACUUCAAUUUGAACAUAACCUGCAUCGCCCCCAGAUUCAUUUUAUCAGUCACAACAUGAAAUACGUGUUUCCACGGCUCUUUUGCAUUUUUCACUGCAGAGUUCACCACCACCGAAGCGGCAAUCACAUUAUCUGAGAAAAUCGCAUAAUGGUAAAGUUUUGGAUCCUCCAGUUCAGGUGCCUGCGGCUUCCCUUCAUCAGUAUAUUUCUCAGGGUAUGCAAUUCUCUCCUCCAUUAACCUCAUAGCAAGGCAAUGCAAGCUUUU
rnacentral:misc_RNA from 1 species